ACCGUGAGGGAAAGGCGAAAAGAACCCCGGCGAGGGGAGUGAAAAAGAACCUGAAACCGUGUACGUACAAGCAGUGGGAGCCCCACCACUAAGCCAGUGGUGAACUCCACAUACGCAUCCUUUGCUGAAGGCAAUGGUUAACGGAGCGAAAGCGACGUUCAACCGCAAAACAAGCAGAGGGGGCUUAGUGGUGGGGUGACUGCGUACCUUUUGUAUAAUGGGUCAGCGACUUAUAUUCUGUAGCAAGGUUAACCGUAUAGGGGAGCCGGAGGGAAACCGAGUCUUAAUUGGGCGUUAAGUUGCAGGGUAUAGACCCGAAACCCGGUGAUCUAGCCAUGGGCAGGUUGAAGGUUGGGUAACACUAACUGGAGGACCGAACCGACUAAUGUUGAAAAAUUAGCGGAUGACCUGUGGCUGGGGGUGAAAGGCCAAUCAAACCGGGAGAUAGCUGGUUCUCCCCGAAAGCUAUUUAGGUAGCGCCUCGUGAAUUCAUCUCCGGGGGUAGAGCACUGUUUCGGCUAGGGGGCCAUCCCGGCUUACCAACCCGAUGCAAACUGCGAAUACCGGAGAAUGUUAUCACGGGAGACACACGGCGGGUGCUAACGUCCGUCGUGAAGAGGGAAACAACCCAGACCGCCAGCUAAGGUCCCAAAGUCAUGGUUAAGUGGGAAACGAUGUGGGAAGGCCCAGACAGCCAGGAUGUUGGCUUAGAAGCAGCCAUCAUUUAAAGAAAGCGUAAUAGCUCACUGGUCGAGUCGGCCUGCGCGGAAGAUGUAACGGGGCUAAACCAU
rnacentral:rRNA from 1 species